UGGAAAUUUGGUUAGCUCUCAUUUUUAGUUUUUCAUCUCUUCUUCUAGGAUGAAUAUUAUAUUUUUUAAUCCAAACAAUUCUGUGUUCAUUUCUACACCCAAGACACUUGCCACCUCUUGCUUAGGCUGCUGCUUUGUCUCCAUGGAGGUAGCAACAGGGUACUGUGUAUAUGGAAGGAGGUUCAGAACACAAAGGAUGAAUUUUGCUUGGUAGUCCAUUCAAGAUGAACUGGCCAACUCAAGACCAUCAGAGAGCAAGGUUGAAGAUGGUGGAGUUGAAAUGUGGAAAGAGUCCAAGAAUGUGAUGUGCUGAUGAGUCACUGCCUGACCCUGGACUUAACUCCAGUUGAUUUGUUACAUGAUAGACAUGUCUAUUGGGGAGGUGGAGGAUUGGGAAGGACCCUGGUUAUGAACUCGGAGGGUAUUCAUCACAGUUUUUUGCCUGACUUCACACUCAACACAAGUAGCUUAUUGCUGUUCUCUUGUGCAUGGUUAAUGCUGGAACCAGUAACUCUUAAGACUUCCACAGCCUCAAAGGGAAAUGGAUGUAACAGGGAUUGAUGGAAAGCAGCACCAGAAGGCUGAUUUCACUUUGCAUCAGCAACAUUUUAUAUUUAGAAAAACUAGCCAUGAAAAGGGAGUUUAAUUUUCUGAUUAAAUUACCAAUAUAAAUUCCUUUUAAAUCAACAUUGUAGUCCUAUUAAUUUGAGUAAUGCUAGGGUCUUACCAACUCUACACUUUAAUAACAGGAUAAGAAAAUAAGUAAAACUAUAAAACCACUGCAUGGAGGUGGUGCAUAUGCGGAAGGGAUGCUGCUUUGUAGCAUCAUUCCCUUGGAUUCCCAUUAGCCUGGACAUCUACACUGUGUGGCUUCUGAGGUGCUUCUGGGUAUUGACAGAGUAUACAGGAAGGGAGAGAAGCCUUGCAUAUGGGAGUUUUAACAGCAAGGCCUAGA